AAUAUUGGACAAUGGGCGCAAGCCUGAUCCAGCAACGCCGCGUGGAGGACGAAGGUCUUCGGAUUGUAAACUCCUGUCAGGCGGGACGAAGGGUUGGGGGCAAAUAGUCCCUGAUCUUGACGGUACUGCCAGAGGAAGCCCCGGCUAACUCCGUGCCAGCAGCCGCGGUAAUACGGAGGGGGCGAGCGUUAUUCGGAAUUAUUGGGCGUAAAGGGCGCGUAGGCGGCCCGGUAAGUCAAAGGUGAAAUCCCUCGGCUCAACUGAGGAACUGCCUUUGAAACUGUCGGGCUUGAGGCCGGGAGGGGGUGGCGGAAUUCCCAGUGUAGCGGUGAAAUGCGUAGAUAUUGGGAGGAACACCAGUGGCGAAGGCGGCCACCUGGACCGGUUCUGACGCUGAUGCGCGAAAGCGUGGGUAGCAAAC
rnacentral:rRNA from 1 species